rnacentral:rRNA from 1 species
UACGAAGGGGGCUAGCGUUGCUCGGAAUCACUGGGCGUAAAGCGCACGUAGGCGGCUUCUAAGUCAGGGGUGAAAUCCUGGAGCUCAACUCCAGAACUGCCUUUGAUACUGGAGAGCUUGAGUCCGGAAGAGGUGAGUGGAACUCCGAGUGUAGAGGUGGAAAUUCGUAGAUAUUACGGAAGAACACCGAUGGCGAAGGCAGCCCCCUGGGACCAAUACUGACGCUCAG